AGCAGCCGCGGUAAUUCCAGCUCCAAUAGCGUAUAUUAAAGUUGUUGCAGUUAAAAAGCUCGUAGUUGAAUUUCGGGAUCAAUAUGUUGGUCGUGCCUUGGUACGUACUAAUUUAUUGGUUUCUUCCUUCUGACGAACCAUGAUGUCAUUAAUUUGGUGUCUUGGGGAAUCAGGACUGUUACUUUGAAAAAAUUAGAGUGUUUAAAGCAGGCUCACGCUUGAAUACAUUAGCAUGGAAUAAUGAAAUAGGAUGUUUGAUUCUAUUUUGUUGGUUUCUAGGAUCGACGUAAUGAUUAAUAGGGAUAGUUGGGGGCAUUAGUAUUCAAUUGUCAGAGGUGAAAUUCUUGGAUUUAUUGAAGACUAACUACUGCGAAAGCAUUUGCCAAGGAUGUUUUCAUUAAUCAAGAACGAAAGUUAGGGGAUCGAAGACGAUCAGAUACCGUCGUAGUCUAACCAUAAACUAUAGCCGACUAGGGAUCGGAUGAUGUUAAUUUUUAAUGUACUCAUUCGGCGCCUUACG
rnacentral:rRNA from 1 species